rnacentral:rRNA from 1 species
AACGAACGUUAGCGGCGCGCUUAACACGUGCAAGUCGAACGAGAAAGGGCUUCGGCCCCGGUAAAGUGGCGCACGGGUGAGUAACACGUGGGUAAUCUUCCCUGGUGCGGGGGAUAACAUUCCGAAAGGAGUGCUAAUACCGCAUAAGACCACGGCUCCGAAAGGAGCUGCGGUAAAAGCAGGCCUCUUCACGAAAGCUUGCACAUCAGGAUGAGCCCGCGGCUCAUCAGGUAGUUGGUAGGGUAAUGGCCUACCAAGCCAAAGACGGGUAGCUGGU